rnacentral:rRNA from 1 species
AGUUGAUCAUGGCUCAGGAUGAACGCUAGCGGCAGGCCUAAUACAUGCAAGUCGAACGCUCAGUAGCAAUACUGGGAGUGACGCACGGGUGCGUAACGCGUACACAAUCUACCUCUAAGCGGGGGACACCUCCUGGAAACGGGGAUUAAUACCGCAUAAUAUGCCGAGGUCGCAUGACUUUGGUAUUAAAGCAGCAAUGCACUUAGAGAUGAGUGUGCGUCCCAUUAGGUAGUUGGUGAGGUAACGGCUCACCAAGCCUAUGAUGGGUAGCCGGUCUGAGAGGAUGGUCGGCCACACGGGCACUGAGACACGGGCCCGACUCCUACGGGAGGCAGCAGUAAGGAAUAUUGGUCAAUGGUGGAAACACUGAACCAGCCAUGCCGCGUGGAGGAAUAAGGUCCUACGGAUUGUAAACUCCUUUUGACGAGGAAGAAAGUGUUAGAUUUAUCUAAUUUUGACGGUACUCGUAGAAUAAGCACCGGCUAACUCCGUG